rnacentral:rRNA from 1 species
GGAUUAGGCAUGCAAGUCACACGAGGGAGCGUCCCGAAAGGGGCGCAAACCGAGUGGCGUAAGGGUGAGUAAUGCAUUGAUAACCUACCUUUGAGAUGGGAACAACAACGUUCCAAGUAAUUGGGGCUACCGAAAGGGUUGCUAAUUCUCAAUAAAAAUGCUGACACUUUGGUGUCGGCAGUCAAAGAAAUGGAUCUGGAAAGGUCCAUUUGCUCAGAGAGGGGUCAAUGUCCUAUCAGCUAGUUGGUAGGGUAAUGGCCUACCAAGGCGAAGACGGGUAGCCGGCCUGAGAGGGUGGUCGGCCACACUGGGACUGAGACACUGCCCAGACUCCUACGGGAGGCUGCAGUCGAGAAUCUUUCGCAAUGCCCGAAAGGGUGACGAAGCGACGCCGCGUGUGGGAUGAAGGCCUUCGGGUUGUAAACCACUGUCGGGAGUUAAGAAUUGUAGGAAUGCUAAUAGUAUUUCUACUUGACUAAGGCUCCGGAGGAAGCCACGGCUAACUCUGUGCCAGCAGCCGCGGUAAUACAGAGGCGGCAAGCGUUGUUCGGAAUUAUUGGGCGUAAAGAGCAUGUAGGCGGCUAUGUAAGUCGGUUGUGGAAGCCUUCCGCUUAACGGAAGAAUGGCGGUCGAAACUGCAUGGCUUGAGUGCGGGAGGGGAGAGUGGAACUUCUGGUGGAGCGGUGAAAUGCGUAGAUAUCAGAAGGAACGUCGGCGGCGAAAGCGACUCUCUAGACCGUAACUGACGCUGAGUGUGCGAAAGCUACGGGAGCAAACGGGAUUAGAUACCCCGGUAGUCCUAGCCGUAAACGAUGGGCACUAAGUAGAGGGGUUUU